rnacentral:rRNA from 1 species
GACGAACGCUGGCGGCGUGCUUAACACAUGCAAGUCGAACGGAAAGGCCCUGCUUUUGUGGGGUGCUCGAGUGGCGAACGGGUGAGUAACACGGGAGUAACCUGCCCUUGACUUUGGGAUAACUUCAGGAAACUGGGGCUAAUACCGGAUAGGAGCUCCUGCUGCAUGGUGGGGGUUGGAAAGUUUCGGCGGUUGGGGAUGGACUCGCGGCUUAUCAGCUUGUUGGUGGGGUAGUGGCUUACCAAGGCUUUGACGGGUAGCCGGCCUGAGAGGGUGACCGGCCACAUUGGGACUGAGAUACGGCCCAGACUCCUACGGGAGGCAGAAGUGGGGAAUAUUGCACAAUGGGCGGAAGCCUGAUGCAGCAACGCCGCGUGCGGGAUGACGGCCUUCGGGUUGUAACCCGCUUUCGCCUGUGACGAAGCGUGAGUGACGGUAAUGGGUAAAGAAGCACCGGCUAACUACGUG